rfam:Zea mays cultivar B73 chromosome 10, whole genome shotgun sequence.
AAAUAGGUUUUUUUCAAAACCAAAACUUUUGUUUUGAAAAUACGUAU